rnacentral:lncRNA from 1 species
UUUAACCUAUACGGGCCUCCUUUGUUUCCAGAAUUUAUUAACAUUUGCUGAUUCGCAGAGCCAACGGGAAGUCUUCUACAUGAUUUCAUAAUGUGCUAAAACUAAAAGGAAUCAGCCAAAUGUCUCUUUCUGCUCUCUCCGGAAUCUUGGGUGUACUCGCUAAUAUUUUUUUACUAUAACGUACACAGUUGAACGAGAACCUUAAUGUAUGCUGGUCACCUAAUAUCAAAAACUUAUUAAUGAGUACUCCAAGAGGAUAAAGUUAGGUAGAAUGCUCAUGUAGCUUUCCGAUACUUUACGUUUACCAAAAUUCACUCCCAGGUUGCUGGCUAACCAAAGGCUGCACUGAUCUGUAUAAUCGAAUCUGUUCUGUCCGUAGGUUUCGUUCAACCACCGACUUGAAUAAAUUCAAAACCAACAAUAUUUGUUUCAGUCAUAUCUAAUGUAAGAAGGUAUGGACUGACAUUCGUCUUUAUUGUAAUUUACAGAACAGAAAUCUUUUCAGCUGAACCAGACUGUUUCCUAAAAUCACUAUAUGUGUUAUGUCUAAAUCAAUCUUAUAAUAUUUUACAUGUAAUUUACAUAAGUGACUCAGGAGUCGAGGUGAAAAAAUCAGUUAACAGAUUUUAAUUUCCAGGCUGGAAUCGACCGACAAGAAAUGUAUGCGUUGUUGAUUAUAAUAUGGUCUGUGAUUCCUUCUGUUAUUACAUAUUGAAUGUUUAUUUUAUUAUACAUAUGAUUUAAUUUAAUUUAAUCAAAUUUCUAUAGAGUUCUCUCUGAUGUCUUGCUUUUCUAUUAAAACCGUGUUUACACACGAACUGUAUAAUAACAUUUGAAGUAGAAUCGAGAUUUUGGCUCUAUUUCUCGUCAUUGUUUACAAUGAGGAAUCUAUUUUCCUUUAGUGUUGUUUUAUGAGGUAUAAUUAUGCACCGAUAAAGACCUCUUUGUUGCUUAGUUUACUGUUCACACCAGGCCUCUACUUGUUAUUGUUUGUUUGUUUGUUUUUAUCUAAACAACCAGAAGACAUGCUUUUGGGUAGAGGGUUGUGUAGGGUAUUAUCAACAUCUUGACGACAUCGUUGACUGAUUCGUUUUUGUAAUUCCAUUCUGCUGCCAAUUUCUAAUAUUUGAAUAUUGAUUUCCUACAUUGGCAAAAAUGCACACACAUCUACACAAAAAAUACAGGCUAUAUAAACGACUCGAAUACAUUACUGGUACUAAUACUACUACUCCGCGAUUCACGAGAUGUAAGGCCUCAAACCCCAGAGAAAUUUGAACUGAAAGUAAAUUGUACGAUCUAAUUCCUCAGAAGAACUUUCACAGUUAAUCCGCUGUAUUUAUGAAACAACUGGCCUUCUUAUGAAAACUGAGUAAUAUGUGCUGAACUGAGCCCCAUCGGCAAAAGGUAAUUUCCUAAUAAUUCGAUUCUCUUAAGCAAUACCAUUCCCCGAUAAGUAACGAUUUGCAUUUGUGGAGUCGAUAGAAUGACGGAUGAACCGCGUGUUAUUUAAUCAUGUCUCUUUUGAUUCUCUGUUCAAAUCCCACCGAGAUCAAUGUUAGCGUUUAAUUUUUCCGAAGAUCGAUAAAGUAAAUACCAAGGGUUCUGUAGUCAGUUUAAUCAAAUAUAUUAUACUCCACCAAAAUGUUGACCAUGUACCGAUAUAAAAAAAAAAACUGUGAUUGUACAACUGGAUGUUUUGAUUAUAUUUAACUGAAGCUGGCUUUUUAAUAACAUGAAUGUCAGAAAAUUUAAUUUCUUUAAGCAAUUUAUCUCUAAAGAAAUGCACUUAUUUCUCUAAGUUAUUUAUUUUAUACAGUUCUAUAUUUAAGAGAAGAGGAAUUAUGUACGUUAUUUACAUUAUUUACAAUUGACGAAUAUUUGUCCUAAUCUUGUUUGUUGUUAACACAACAUUUCGGCUGAUAUACCCUCCAGCCUUCAUCAGGUGUCUCGCGGAAUUUUCGAACCUGGGCUCUCAUUCCUAAGGUAUGUUUUUUCGAUGUUAUUAUUAUUCAGAUCACUGCCUGGAAUCGAACUCGGAAUCUUGGGGUUAAGAGCACGGGCUACUAACUCCAAGAUUCCGAGUUCGAUUCCAGGCAGUGACCUGAAUAAUAACAAUACUAAUAACAACAUUGAAAAAAAUACCUUAGAAAUGAGAACCCAGGUUCGAAAUUUUCCCAAGACACCUGAUGAAGGCUGGAGGGUAUAUCAGCCGAAAUGUUGUGUUAACAACAAACAAGAUGAGGACAAAUAUCCGUCAAUUGUAAAUAAUGUAAAUAAUUUAUUUUAUACCUCUUAUUUUACUUUAUUCCUCAAUCCCGUUCAUUAUCUCAAUUUAUAUUGUAUUGCUUUACAUUUUAGUAACUGUAAGCUCCUCGUCUCUCUAUACGCACACACUCACACAUAUACCAUACUUAUACACACACAGACACACAUAUGUACACACACACGCACACACAUGCACGCUGACGCACACACACGUUUUCUCUCUUCCCUACACAUACAUAUAUUAUAUAUAUAUGUCGUCUUUGGAUUUGGUUUGCAGAAUUCUUUAUGUGAGUUCGUGCUAAAAGAGAAUGACUCUCCCAGGCACAGCAGUAUAUACAUAUAUAUAUAUAUAUAUAUAUAUAUAUAUAUUGACAUACUAUUAAAACUAGUACUUAAACACAUACCAAGUAGAACCACAGCAAGAACAGAUACACAUAUACAGAUACGCACACAAACACACACAAACACACACAAAUACUACACAACCCACGCACACACACAAAUACUACACAACCCACGCACACACAUACGAAUACAUACAUACACACAAACACAAUAUGCCCAUUCCUCACUAAAAAUACACACACACUCAAAGAAAAAAACACCCACAUAUACACACGCAAUACAAUUCCAGCAAUCCCAACAAACACUCACAGACACACACAUAUACACACACAUACAAGCACUCAAUGACACACAAUGACAAAUACAAGUCACACAAACACACACACACACACAAAGAAUACAUAAACCACACCUACAUACACACAAACACGCAAAACACAAACGCAUACCAGUACACGCACAGUAUAUACACGCGCACACACAUACACACCAUCCUGAUAAGCAUAACACACACGGACACACACAUAUACACUCACACACGUACAUACAUAUGCACCCACACACACUAUUACGUAUGCACAUUCGCACACAUACCCAUACAUAUGCACACUCACACGCACAUACAUACACCACCCGGACAAUUAUAACACUAUAAACAUACAGACACACACACAUACUCCUGUGCAUGCACACAACACACACAAACAUACACACGCACAUACACACAAACGUACACGCACAUACACACACACGAACAAACACAUAUAUACACAUACAUUCCUACGCGCACACACACAACACCCUGACAAAACCAAAUCACACAUAUACACACACGUGCAAACAUACACACACACCACUCUGCUAAAUAUAAAACACAUACAUACACAGACACAUACACACACACACUACACUGAACUCUACGACCAGUCAAAAAUCAUCACACACAUGCACAAGCAUAUAUACACACACACGCAUAGAACCGUGCACACAUACACAUUCAAUCACCCCAUCUUGAACUCUAAACCAGCCGAAAAACCAUCGAACCAGACUAGCCCAAAAACAAAAAAUCCUUUUGAUUCCACAAACUAUUCGAAAUCAGAUCAUGUAACUGAUCCAAACCAGCCCCCACACUAUUUCUAAAAAUAGCAACCAUCCUUGGAGAUGAAGAAAAAAGGUUGGUAAUUGGUCAUUCCUCCAAAAUACUUAUAAAUAAUUAUGCUUUCUGAUGAACUUUUGACAAACCAAUACACGCUUUCUCCUAUCAAAUACUGUCUACAAAUUCUUUUUGUGCAUAUACUUAUAAAAAAUUAUGAUUUCUGGUGAACUUAUAAGCAAUUAUGAACCUAUUUUACUGCCAAUUUUGAACACUUUUAUAUAAAAUGUUUAAACACAAAGCCUGUCAUAUAUUCUUAACAUUGUCAAAGAUUCUAUUUCUUAACAUUGUCUUAUCAUGGUCAAAGACUAUCACUGUAUUUUAAUACAUCUAUGUUAACUAAUUUUUAACACCACAAAGACUACACAAAUCUUUGCACUUUACUUUCGAAAAUCUUUUCUUAAAAAAAAAGUGAAACAUGUCAAGUCAAUAAACAUCUUUAAAAAACCUCUGUAUUUUCAAAUCCUCUUCCCUGUAUAUAUAUAUAUACAUAUGUGUGUGUGCGUGCGUGUGUGUGUGUGUAUGUGUGAGUGUGUGUAUGUGUGAGUGUGUGUAUGUGUGUGUAUGUAUGUUUAUAUAUACAUAUAUAUAUAUAUAUAUAUAUAUAUAUAUAUAUAUAUAUAUAUAUAUAUAUAUGUAUAUACAACAUAAGAAUACUUAGAUAUACGCACGUAUACACACAUAUAUAUGUACGUAUUUACACGACCGAUUUAAUAGCCCGUCCAAACUCCCCGUGCUAUAUGGUCAAAAUACUGCCGUAGUGAAUAUAAUGACGAAGUAAGUAUAUAAAUUUAUAUAAAUAAGGAUAAGAUCGUUAUUUAAAAUACGAUCAUAUCAAGUGCCCAGCAUGGGAAUAAAAACCUUAUAGGUAAUAAUUAUUAUUAAAAUCAUAAUCAAGGGUAUCUAAAAGGUACCAUCAUGCAAGAGAUAGCAGUCAAAACUUGACUCUAAAACCACAUCAUCUAUUCAUACAGCACCAGAGGAAAAGAUCAAAAAGACAAAUAAGCUAGUAAAAAUUUAUUGGAUAAUCCCAGAUCCAGAUUUCUGGCUUGGCAUAAUACAUACAUAGAUACAUACAUUAAAUACACACACACACACACACACACACACACACACACACACACACAUAUAUAUAUAAAUAUUUGUAAUUACGUACUGUCUGUGUAUAUCCCACUGAUGAGGCAGAGUAUAUUUUUAUGCGAACCCAGAAUUCCGGAUCUGGGAUUAUCCAAUAUCUUUUUGCUAGUUUAUUUUGUCUCUUUGUCUCCUCUCCUAGUGCUGUAUAGAUAUUUUAUGUGGUUUUAGAGUCAAGUUUUGACUGCUAUCUCUAGCAUGGUGGUAACUUUUAGAUACCCUUAAUUAUAAUUUGUAUAUAUAUAUAUAUAUAUAUAUAUAUAUAUAUAUAUAUAUAUGGUGCGAGAGGAACUUUAUCACAACAGCGACUUACUGUAACUCCAGAAUAGUUUCGCUCUUAUUGGAGCUUGUCAGUGACGUGUAUCCUUUUGUCACAUGCUAGACGAAAUCAGUCACCUCCGAUAUAUUGUUACUGAUAUUACGAAAACACUGUCAGGCUAAAAUAAAUUCAGUAUAUGUAAUUGAAACACCAUAAAAUUAUAAACACCAUCCGUGUAUCAUAUAUUCACAACUGACUAGCAUGACGCAGUAGUUUUUAUCUGAGAGAAUAUCUUUUCAUAGACAUUUAUUAAUAGCAUAAUAUAUAAUAUUCGAUGGUUUGUAGGAGGAACAAAGCAACAAAUCGUUGGAGAAUGAUUUGUAGAUUAAAUUAACCACCGGUAAUUUAUUUAUCUAGAAUGAUUGAAAGUAAAGUCGACCAUGACGGCAUUUGAACUCAAAAACGUAAAGAAUCUGCCAAUCCACUGGAAUGUAGUAUAUUGUCAUAAUAUAAAUAUAUAAAACUAUCGUAAUAUAAAAACAAAAAAUCAAUCACGGAAGCAGUCUCCAAACUAGACUACACACCAAAGCACUCACAAAUAAAUGACCGGAUAAAUUCAAAUAAUAUGUUUAACAAACUGUAAAAAACAAAUUAUUUGCCCGGAUUAUGAGCAUAACCUUUGACAAUCAUGUCACAUGAUAUAGUGAUUUAGAACAAACUCGAAAUUAACACCAAAGACAGAAAGACUGCAUUAAUAUUUUGCUUGGAAGGAUGAACAAUUAGAAGCAAGAGUGAAAGAAAAAUGGAAAAAACAUAAACGGAAAAUACGAUGUGAUUAGCUAUGGAAUAUUAAGUGUCUAAUUAAACGUAGACAAAACCCACCUAAUCAAUCAAUCAUAUUAGAACACAUUAUCUCUGUCACAAAAAUCAAUCAUCAUGAAAUUUUAGUAGUGGAAAAUUGUUGCUUGGUUCAAAUAGGUGAUGCCUCUCAUUUGCACUGUCUCUUAUAUAGUCUGGCGUUAAGAUUGUCAUCCACCACAUAAACAUAGCGUUUGUUUUCUUCUUUUUAUCCUAUUUUAUUUUUUCCCCUUUACUUUUAUUAAAACAAUAUAAUAUAUAACUGAAAUUAAAAGAAGGCGUGGAAAAAGAAGUGGAGGAGUAGGAAGAGGUGAAUAAGUAACGUGCAAUUCUUGUGGUUUUGUGGAAUAAACGGUCUCUAAGGUAAAGUCCUCGCAGACAUAUCGAUGCUAACCAGCAAAAAGAAGAAAAUUUAUAUUCUCCUACUCUUCUACCAAUUUCGUUCAGUUGCAGCCAUGCUGGAGCACCGCAUUAACAGAUUUAUCAACCUCAGUAAUUAUAUUGCUUAAACCACAACUUACGGAGAUGUAGAUAAAGCAGAAGUAAUUGACAAGCAGCAGAUACCCACAUAAUCACAUGCUCACACACAGACACAAGCAAACACAUACGUACAUACAUACAUAGAUACAUAGAUACAUAGAUACAUACAUAUAUGCACAAAGCUUCCGCACACUAAUUUGGUCUGCCAACUCAAGACAUUGAUAGGCCCAAAGUUAUAGAGAAGGAUACUUACCCAAGAGGCCGUGCAGUGGAACUGAAAUCAAAACCGUGAGGUGGAGAAGCGAACUUCAUAACCCCAUAGUCAUGAUUCUUUUUUCUAUUCAUUAUCCGGCUUUGUCCGGAGAAAAGGACUGUGCUUACGCCGUUCGCAGGCUUCCGGGGAUCAACGUAGUUAGCUUUGUAACGAGAACAAGGUUGUGAUCGAAUUAUGUGUGCCAAUAUACGCAGUCUCACACGCACUCACAUACAUGCACAUGCACAUUCAUACUCACAUAUUUUUAUAUCAGUAUCUGUUGGGACUUUUCCAAGGCUUUGGAACGGUUUCUUGCUGACGUCACCAGUCGAAUAGGUAUAGUAUGUACUUAGCAAUGAUAGAAGACUAAACCUGACAAACUCGAUAUAUCUUUCAUGGUCACUAACUUAUGUAAUUACCAAACAAAUCUUAGUGAAAUCACACGUUACAAUCUCAAAUGAGGAGACGUAGGAGAAUGUCUUUGAUAUAGAGAAACUACGGAAUGGACAUUGGUUAAGUUCAGCAAGACAUUUGCUCGUUUAGAGCAGAUCUGACACUAACAACAACAGGACAAAAAGACGAAGAAGAAGAAGAAGAAGAAGAAGAAGAAGAAGAAGAAGAAGAAGAAGAAGAAGAAGAAGAAGAAGAAGAAGAAGAAGAAGAAGAAGAAGAAGAAGAAGAAGAAGAAGAAGAAGAAGUGAAAUAAAUUGAAACUUACCUAGCUUAAUGAAUUUAGGAUUUAUAAUCCCAAUAUUAGCAUUAAACUGCGAGUUUAAGCCAUGUAAACAUACAGGCAACACUGAAAAACAUUUUGGAGUGGAGCAUUGCCGAUUAAAUAAGCUGGGCGCGCAAACUAAUUGCAUUUGCUUUUCGUUUAUUUCUGAGUAGCAGUCUAUGAUAGUCAAAAAUGGUUAUCACAGUUCUGUGAUUGAGCCAUCUGAACAAUUAUUUUGUAAUAUACUCGUGUCAUUGGACAGAAAUAUAAGUGACAUUUCUAUAAUAAACUUCAAACGUUUAAUAAAGGACUGUAAAUAGUAUAUCAAUGAUACUUAGAUUUCUCUUAAGGCGCAAUUAUUUCUCACUAGCUCUCUAUCAGUAUCGUCACAAAGCCACAAUAUGGUAAAUGUUCUCUCCCUCUCUUUCUCUCUCUCUCUAUGUAUAUAUAUAUAUAUACACACACACGCACACACACACACACUCACACAUAUCCUUAUGAUUAUGGCCUUUCUGACUUGCAUUAUUCUUUGACAACCGUGUGUACAAUAGUAUGUGUACAUUUUUCUCUACCUCGUAUGUAUUCACAUCCCCCACAUUUCUCUAUUCCCCCUUUCCCCUUGCCGUCUGAUCCUAUACUUACAUAUACAUAUAUAUAAUUCUUUAUUUUCGUUGCAUCCCUAAUAAUCAUAUACUUCUCCAUUAUGUUACAAAAAUUGCUAUGCCCUACGUUACCACCUAAACGUUAAACCAUAUUAUAAGCUGUCUUCUAUUCGUCAGUCUCUGUUGUUAUAUAAUGCUUGUGUUUCCUUUUCUCUCUCUGGAUUCACAUUUGUGUAUUUUCUCUCAGUAAUUUUACUUUGUGGUUCAGCUCUCCUUUUGUCUCUGUCUCUCCUUCUUACUAUUUCUUUCCAUGUACAGAGUAUAUUCUUCUAUUACGAUUAUCAACUGUUAUACUUCUAAAGUAUAUAUUAAUUCUUUAAUGAAACCAUAUACAUUUUAGAAUCUGAAUAUUUGUAAGUCACAUUUUGAUCAAAUGUAUAUCAUAUCAAUAUCAGUUGGUAAAGAGCUAUGAAUUAUUUAGCAGCAUUGAACAGUAGUAGCACGAAACUCAGAAAAGCGUUAGUUUAAAAUCUCAACUUUAAUUUCUCUUAUUAGACUAAAAAUUCUUCGGGGAAGUGCCCCAGGGUAGUCAGUCUAACGACUGAAACAAAUAAAGGUAUUAAAAAAACAGAAUAUUCAUACAGAGUCAGACAUCCGUACAGUCACAUACACAUAUACAGAGAACUGACUUACAUAUAUAUCGGCCACGGCCUCUCACCGAGCGUGCACUUACUUAUAGCACAGCAGCAUAUUUGAAAAGUAAUGGUAGAUCCAUACAUAUUAUGUAUGUUAUGUAGGUAUAUCUCGGUCGACGUUUGUAGAAGAUGCACAUUGAUUUCACAGAAAUGGGUAUGGACAUACAAUCUGGUAAAACAUUUUGGAUUAUGUGUCUACUUGAUCAGUUAGUAUUCAGGCCGGUGGAUGCAACUAGUAAUUCCAUAUCAUGUAGUUCCUAGUAUUGCUAUAAUUCCGUACUCCAUGAAAAUUUUGUCGACAUGUACAGGUAGAUGAGAUUACUGAAUGUACAGCUAUGAGUAUAUAGACGGCCUUGUUCGCGUAGGUGGUGCUACGAAAUCGUAUUUGAUUGUAUUAGAUGUACGAGUAACAUGAGAAUCCCUUCGCUAUGCCAACAUGUCGGCUCCAAGGCUGCUAUGCCGCCGUGUCGACUGUAAGGCCGUGUCGACUGUAAGGCCAUGUCGACUGUAAGGCCGUGUCGGCUGUAAGGUGUAACUCCCCUGUUGUUCUGGUUUUACCUUGUCCUGUAACUAUAGAUCGUUCUAAUCUCCCUGUGUGUGCAAUAAAUCCUUAUUACGUUGUUUGUUAGGAGGUUGUUUACUAUUAGCUAUCUAAAUCUUCUCGAUUCAAAAUUCACAGAAAUUCUUACCUCCCUGGUAAGAUAUCGCGUGUCCCAGCACCAACUAAUUCAGUUUAUUGCUAAGCUUACAAUCAUUUAAUUUAUGGAGAUACUCAGCUAAUGAGGUAAUGUGCUUUAGUCAUUGGUUGGGGAAGGAAUGCUUAUGCAUAGAAAUGCGUUCUUUUACAGGUUUAACUGUAGUUAUUAAGUAAACUUUUUUUAUUAAUAUAUGUAACUAGCUUGGCUACUUCCCUCCCGCAAAAUUUCAGACAUUGUUUCUAUAGUAGAGAGAAUUAUAUUCGCCCCUCGGAGCGUAUGUUAGAUGUCUCUCACUCAAGGUUCCUAGUAGUUGUAUGGAUCGAAACCACGGUAAUGUGGUUGCGAAGUAAACGUCUCACCGGCAUGGACAUACUGGCGUCCCAGACUUUAUUUUAAUGACUCCAGAAGGAUGAGCGUAUAAGUUCAUCGCUGCAGCAUUAGAAUACAGAUAUUGAACAAUCAUAAUUACAUGUCAUUCGCCUGUUGUGUUAAGGAUUCUUUUCAUCACAAACUAUGAAUAUUGAAAAUAUUUCUAUAUCUUCAAUGGUAACCAUUGUACAGUACGUUCCAAAUAAUCAUAUUAGUCUCCAUUCCAGAAACUAUUAUUCUUACUGUUCGCAGCAGGCAGACUGUGUAAGUAAAGUUAUAUUUGUAACGAUUUCAUUCGUUAUAUUUAUACAUAGAGAACCAUAAUGCAUGCUAUUGUGUAUUUUUUUUUAUACAACGUUUUGUUACAAUUACGACAAUAUAUAAAGUACAUGUCCAUUGAGAGCAGUGGACGUACUCGGUAAAAAUACUCCAACACUGGCCGCAGUGCAAUGACUUAAACAAAGUAAAAAAAGAAUGAAUAUAUAUAUAUAUGACACAAUUACUAUAAGUACCUGAGACACAAAUUCUACAAGCUUUGCUUUUCAUAACAUGUCUAAAUGUAAUGAUAAUAAACGUUUCCUUCCUACACAAAUGUAUCGCCGCUCAAUAACAGUUUGUUGUGGAUAAACGUAUAAUUAUUUUUUUUUCUUUUCACCAGAAGUGGCAUUGGUUAUAUGUCUCUAAUGAACCGAUUUCAUGGCAAGGUAGACAAGGGAAAGUUUAUGCGACUGGGGAAGAACAAAUAACAGAAUACACUUUUGUAUUUGUGUGUGUGUGUGUGUGUGUGUGUGUGUGUGUGUGUGAGAGAGGAAAAAUGUGCGGCCAUUACUUGUUAAAGAGCUGCAAAUCUAUCAUUCUUCUGAAAGCAUCGGACACUUUGGAGUUAUGGUAAACACAUCUAUCCAAUGCAUUGCGCAAUGGAAUCAAACCAAAAAUAGUCUAUCCGUGAUGCAAUCUUCUUAACCACAUAUUUAUGCCAAUUCCAUACAUGAUAAAUUGGAAUGGAUUAUAUUUUGUCAAUACAGAAUAUUGCCUGAAAGAAAUCGAUCGUUAAUUACUGAUAAGUACGAAUAAAUAAAAACCGUUCCUCACAGUAUUUAUUCUAUCAUCGUUGUAAACUAUUUUAUCAUUUCUUAAUGACAAAAUUUCGAUGAAACUGUAAUACUGAAAGACAACGGGAAACCUCCAAUAUCAUAGUGCUGCUGAUAUUUACAGCGAGGAUUUUAUAUCAUCUUCUUGCUCUUAACAUGGAGGCCUUGAUCAUUUGCGUUCCAUGUGCUGAGGUAGGGUUGUGUAGAUGUCUAGAAUUCUGAAAGAUUGCUUGUCUUUUAUUGAAUUGCCAAGGGAAAACAACAUUUUCAUUGAUUUACAGACAUCCUUGAAUAUUUUUAUGGGUCGGUCAAAGGAAGAAGGGGAAGGUAAAUGAACUUUUCAGGACUUCCGGUAUCGGUGACAGGUAACGAGCAAUCCAUCAGAUUUCUCUUGCAGUUUUUAGUCUGCUGUAUACGCCAGCAAGAUGGAAGGUCAUUUUUUUUCAUCUUGCCCAGUCUUAGGGGUUUCGUCAUACAUUAACGUUGAAGAAAUUUGAAGCAAAUCAUGCUUCAAAAUCUUAUGGCUCGCUGAAGAGACUAAGGAAUUUAUUUUAUCCUUAUUUCCCCCAAAUCAACUGGAAUUUUUUUGCAGUUCAUUAUAUUAUGCUGGCAUUUCAUUGAAAGAGUUCGAGCUGUAAUUGAACGUGGAAAUACUUCAUUGCCACAUAAACUCUUCAUUAUACUUCGACUGGUUAACUAGCAGAAGAUAAAAAAGUAUCCGGAUAUAAUUUCGUCUGAAAGCCGUUGUGUUUUAUUUAAUGCUUGUUGGUUCUGUCAUACUAAAGCAAAUUAAUAGAACGGCAAUUUAGAACAACGGUUAUUUACUAAUUAUGUUAAAGCUAAAAUACGAGUUGAAAAAACAAUACGAAAGAUGUUUUGGAGAAUUUAGAAGUAACAUUUUUAUGACCAAGUGAAUAUAUGAAUAUCAGUUAUCAUGAAAAAAUAUGAACAACGUCAACUAUAAAGAAUUUUAUAGAGAAAGCUUAGCAUACUCUCAAAGCACUUGACAAUAGUGUCUUAAGUUCCAUUGAAGAAUGAGAAGCAUUGAAAAAGUUGAUUGUAUUUCAACAUGUUUUCGUUAAAUUGCUAAAAUAUGAGAAGACAGUAAGCCCAGAGGUUGUUUUAAACAUUUCAAACUAGAAUUAUGAGAAAAUAACACGAAAAAAUGUAACGCUAUUUUUUUUAAAGAAAUCUAUUGUAGAAUCACGCAUAUUAAAAAACGCUACAUGCAUUUCAGCAGUUUUAUAUGAACUUCUAAAGUACGAAAAGAAACAUCAAUAAUGAAAAGUCAAGGCUUGCGUGUGACUAGAUGCAAAUUCAGAUAAUUAUUGCAAAACAACAACACUAGAAAAUGAAAUGCUUCUCUCAAAUAGCGUAGAAAAUAUUUUCAUCUUCUUUGAAUAAUGACAUUAUAAAUCACACGGGUCAGAAUAGUUUGAAAAUUAUGACCAUAUGCUUCUUGAGGAAUAUCGAAGAGAAUUGCUUUCUAUAAAGGUCACCUUUUAAAAGAAGACCCUUUAGUGUUAAUGAAGUUCUGAAUCGGCUCAGGACAGCCACAGUAAGGACGAACACAAAACAACAACAAUAACAAAGAUAAUUAUGAAAAUUCUUUCUAAAUUUGGGACAAGGCCAGCAAUUUUAGGAGACGGGUAGGUUAGUUGAUAUUAUUUUAUCGACCAUGAAAGAAUAAAAAGCAAAGAUGAUGUCGCCGGGAUGAUGAUGAUAAUAAUGAUGAUAAUAAUAAUAAUAAUAAUAAUAAUAAUAAUAAUAAUAAUAAUAAUAAUAAUGAUAAUAAUAAUAAUAGUAAUAAUAAUAAUAAUAAUAAUAAUAAUAAUAAUAAUAAUAAUAAUAAUAAUAAUAAUAAUGAUGAUAAUAAUAAUAAUAAUAAUAGUACAACACUAUGUACAAAACCAAGUGUAUGGCACCCUAGGCAUAACACCAACAUGAACUUCCAACCUGUUGUCUCUUGAGGUCUCUGGGUGAGACAUGGAGCUAGCUUGAGCAAAUGUAAAACAAAAGUCAAACAUAUAAUAAUAAUAAUAAUAAUAAUAAUAAUAAUAAUAAUAAUAAUAAUAAUAAUGAAGAUGAUGAUGAUGAUAAAUACUCUGAUGCAACACCAGGUAGAGGCUCUCAUAGCUUUUGAUUUUAACUGAUUGGAAGUGUUAACGUGUACAUGUUUUGCCAUAGUGUAGAACCUGAGCUACAACAAGUAUUCUGCUCAAUAUCACAUAUUUGCUUGUCAGUUGCUUCACCUUAACCAAUUGAGCUUGUCUCUUAGUGGCUAACGAUAUGUGCAUCUUUAAUUCCGAGCAGAAGCUGUGGAGGAUCACUACAACCAUGUGUUGAGAAGAAUUCUUUAGAAUUUGAAUAAUUCACCUCUGAAAACUUGGGUGUUUCAUCAAUCAUUCUUAAACAACUCUUAAUUAGGGAUCUUUUUAAUGAAAUGGGCCACUCAACCUGAAGAAAAUGUUAAUUUGCUCCACCUCCCAGAUCAUAUGCUGUUUAUCUUGAUAUGAGGCCACCAUAUCGCGGACAUAUGGUUGUGAAACAUGUGCAUGGUGUACCCUUGUUAGACGGGUAGUCAUGAUGGGUAUAAUGGGAUCCGUGUAUUUGUACCCCAGUGUCACUUUGAUGGCAUGCACUGCCCUGUUACUCAAUAAUAAUAAUAAUAAUAAUAAUAAUGAUAAUAAUAAUAAUAAUAAUGAUAAAUAUAAUAAUAAUGAUGAUGAUGAUGAUGAUGAUGAUGAUGAUGAUAAAAACCCUUUCUAGGAUGAUGGCAAAGUUGACCUUGGUCGUAUAAUAGUAAUAUAAUACAUUAAGAUAAUGAUCUACACAUGAAUUCUAUGAAUCUGUAGAGUAUGACACUUCAUUGAAGUUUCUGUUGUUUAAAACGACAAUUAACUAAAAUAAUCUUAACAUGCCCAUUGUUUUACUCUACUGCUAGGAGGUCCCAACCCAUAUAUUUUAACCCUUCUUUAGUAUAGCUUUGUGAAUUGAAAUUUCUCUGCAACGGACCAGCCAGUUGAUUUCCAUCGACACCCAGAGUUUUUCCAAGAACGUCAUCGAAUUUGCUCUCCACUAACCUUAUAUAAAACGCCAUGGUAUCAAUUCCACCGACUACCCUACCAGACUGGUAAAGAGAUGUUAGUGCUUGACGACAUUCCAGAUACCAAUUACCCUGAAUUGGUUUGUCCUUGAUCCAGCAUUGCAGGUCUGUCAAAGAGACAAACAGUGGAACAAUCUAUUUGACAAAGGGCGAUCACACCGGUUCACCGUCAGGAAUUGCUGGAGAUAUGGCAACUCCAGCAUAUGUCAGCGCAUCAUCGGCCACGGUAUGUCUGUUUUCCCCUGUACGAUCAUUGAAAGUGGAGCAUCAGACUAAUAGAACAUGACCCUUCCACAAAAAUCAGGAGACUGAGCGUUGUCUUCAGACUGUCGCGACUGCUCAGAGAGUAAUAUAAGACGGAGACGACCCCGACUUUUAAACUCUCAGCCCAUUUCUCAGUGACAGCACAUGCUGCUCUCCAUCCUGUUCCAGUUCUUUUCUACUACACGGUUGCUCUGACUACAAGUCCUUCAGUCACCAGGCGCAUGCUCACAGUAUGCCACUCUCAUCCACCUUUCAACAAACUUGCUGGGAAGACACAUUUUUUUCUCCGCCCCGCUAUUUUCCAUUUCAAAUUUUAUUCAGAGCAACUUUGCUCUUCAUCUACGUCCAUUGAACAUUGAUAACGUAGGCAUCCAUUGAACACCUCUGGAAAAAAUCACGUCCAUGCAAUUGUAUCAGAUGUGUGUGUAUGUGCAUAUAUAUCUCUAUGUGUGUAUGUGCGCGCGCGUGCGUAUGUGUGAAGGUUGUGGACUAACAGAGUCGGUAAAAUGAAAUGAGGAGUAAAAUGCCUGCUGGUGUUGUUUAGUAACAUUCAUAUACGCUCUCACCUCAAAUCCGAUCGUGGUCGUGACUUUUCUUCUCCAUACGAAUAUAGACACUCAUAACUUACAGCUAAAUACAAGUCUUUAAAAUCGAUUACGUUUUUCCCACAAAACGCGUGACCUUUUACCACAAUGAUAAGUGGAUACAAGCAC